UUUGGGUCAUAUGGGGAGAAAAAGAGAAAAAGAAAAGAAACUUACAGUUCUAGGUGGUUUGUAGAGCUGAGUAUGAAACAUAAAGCAAUAUACUUUCUAGAAGAUAACAUAUCCACUUUCAUGACUAUAGGGAUAGGUUAAGUGUUCUUUUUUUAAAAAAUAAAUAUAUAACUAUAUUUAUUUUGAAUAUUAAAUAGUUUUUAAAUUACAAGCAAUUUAUUGAAUCACACUAUGCAUCAAUAUACAGUAAAAAUCUUACAAUUUAAAAAUGUACACAAUUUAAACUGAAAGUUCAUUGACUGUUACAUUGCCGUGAACCUUUUUUGCCUGUGUUAAAAGACAGCAGGGAGGCCCGGUGGGUGGGACGGCCCCCUACGUCCUCCUCUGCAGACAGAAUCUGGCGGUGGAUCCAUACACCAGUCUCAUGAUCAAGAUCCCGCUCGGCCCACGAAGGCCUGAGCUCUUAACCAGCACGCGUCCAUGCCGGUCAAACUGAUCUUCACAGGCUGUUGGUAAUUCAAUACUGUCAACGCAUCUUUAAGAAUUUCUUUAUAGACGAAAGAGAAUGUUCUUUGUUAAUAAAGACUUGAGCCAACCCCAUUGCUACUUAGGAAUAUUGUUUUGGAGAUUUCCAUCGGAAGUCACUGCGUACACCCAUUCUUUUUUUAAGCUACUUCUUAUAAUGCUCAUGUUUUGAAACCCCUGUUAACAGAAGCCCAACCUUUGGUGUCUAACCCUUGGUUCACUUCUGAAUUUUCAGAUGACGGGCUGAGUCGAGGAAGAGCAGGCGCUGCCUUCCUUCCACCGGGGCCCUGGGGACAGACAUGCAGUAGGUCCUUAGCUGUGCAAACACCCUAUGGGGAACAGGAAAAAAAGGAGGGCUUCGGAAAGGCCUUUUACAGCAGCAAGACAUACCAAGACUUUUCUUAGAUAAACCCAUUUCUAUAGAAACGAUCGGACCUGUACAUUUAAAAAUAGAAUGAACGCUGUUUGCAAUUAAGCUUGGUCAAGCUUUCUGCACCCUUAUGAUGAAUGGCUUCUCAUCCAGACACACGGGCCAAGUCUCAGAAGGAUUUGGGGAGCACUUUUUCUGUGUUGCCCUUUCUGGCUUAUUGACAGGGUCAUUUGAAAAGACAAAUUCGCAUCUAGCUAGGAAGGAAAUGAAAGCUAGAUUAUUUUUGUCAUAGGAUUUAAAAUGUACAAACUCCACCAAAAUAGGACUAAUUCAGAUUGAUUCUGGGUUCCCACUCAUAGGAGGCCGGAAAAUAUUCUAGCCUUCCCCCACACUAUCUAGAGAAUGCCACUGAUUUAUUUCAUUGUACAACUUAUUAGAACAAGUACGUUUUGAAAACCCACCACUGAUAACCAACUUAUUAGUUAAAAAAUAACAAAACGAACAACAAAAACCUCAGCUGAACACAGCACGUGCUGACAUUUCAAAAAUGGGCUGCAAUUUUUAUUCUACUUAAAUUUCCUGUAUAUUGCUUGGAUUUCAAAAAAGCGUGUUAACCUACAUGUUGAUUAUAAAUAUAAAAUCUCCCCCUUCCAUGCAAUACCACAUUAAGACCCACUAUCCCCCACCCCCAACUCAAUGUAUAAAAUGCUUUUUUGGCAACUAAUUGUGAGUGACUCAAAAUAAAUAAACAUGGGAAUUAUGUUGUUAAAGUCAUCUUCUUUUUUUUUUUUUUUUUUUGAGACAGGGUCUGGCUCUGUUACCCAGGCUAGAGUACAGUGGCAUGGUCUUGGCUCACUGCAACAUCCAUCUUCUGGGCUCAAGCCAUCCUCCCACCUCAGCUUCUCAAGUAGCUGGGACUACAGGUGCACACCACUAUGCGCCCAGCUAGUUGUUUUUUUUUUUUUUUUUUGUUGUUGUUGUUUGUAUUUUUAGUAGAGAUGGGGUAUCUCCAUAUUGCCCAGGCUGGUCUUGAACUCCUGGGCUCAAAGUGAACCACCCACCUUGGUCUCCCAAUGUGCUGGGAUUGCAGCUGUGAGCCACAGCCAAAAUCUCAAUCCUAGUGGAAAAUGGACAGCCCCAAAAGGUCAAUAAAUGUGCUCGAGGCUGACAAUGUGUAAGAAGACGACAGAUUCCAUUAUCUGCGUGACUUUGGUCAUUAAAUCUGAACUCUUUAAACCUACAAUUGGAAAAAGUAGCAUAAUCACAUCUCAUUUCUCCUCAGCCAAGACUAAUCUUAGAUGUAAAAGCUGAGAAAACUCAGGAAGUCCCCACAGCAGGAAUUCAGAGUCAUGACAAUUUUGGCAAAAUCAUCUUCUUAUGCCCUGUUAAUUUUUUUUUAAAUCCACGCAUCCCGAGAGCCGGUGCUCCCCAUACAGCCCAGGUGGGCACUGCGUCCACCCCAUGACUAGACAGGAGGGGACUCUCUCCAUCCUGAACUUCUUGCUUUGGAAAGUUAUUGCUUAGUAUAAUAAAUGAGCGGAGCGGAGCAGAACUGGCAGCGAAGGUUGUCAUUUGCUGUGCACACUCUGGCAACCUCCACCUGCAUUUUGCACUAGGACUCAACUUCCUUCCGUGUACCCCAGGCGGUGAGGCAGCUUCUGACUUGGGCCAGAGCUCCGAUGUGGGUGGCAUCAUCUCAUCUCACCUGAGAACACAUGAACGACUUCUGAGGGGCCGGGGCCCUGCUUCCUGUGUGGGCCAUCCUGGGACGCGGGAGCCCCUCGAGGAAGUGGGGGUGGGAGUUGGGGUGCUGCUGCACACUGACACCGCCUUAGGAAGGCCUCCCUGGUGACUGGAAGCUGGCUGCAUGCCAGGAGAAGCACGCGAGAUCUCGGAGGGCAGGGCUGGGCUUCAGAGGGUCUGUGAGACACGGGGAGCCCAUGGGACAUGCUGGGUAUGUGUGCAUUUAUGCACUUGGCGUUUUUCUGGGGAAAGGGUCCAAAGCCUUCAUCGUUAGGUCCAGAGCUCUAGUUCUAGCACACUCUCCACUUUACAACUGAGCUGAGAUGCAGGUCCUCCCAGCCAAGCCAGUGCAAUCAGGGAAGGGGUCUCUGCAGGCAGGGUGGGAGGUGGAGUCGGCAAGGGCUGGGUCAAGGCUUCGGAACUUUUCUCCUGGUUUCCAGCAACUCCUGUUGGAAUACAGUCAUCUGCUCAAAGAGGUCGUCUCCAGCAAAAGUCUCAUAGCGGCUCCCGGUUUCCUGGACAGACUCGCAAUAUGGGAAGUCUGUUGUUUCUCAUUUUCUGGAUUUCUUUUUCUAGCAUUACCUCAAGGAGGUUUCUAAAACCCGUGUCGCAGGCACAGCAGAGUGAGGCUCAAAGCCACGACCCUUGACGAGGAGGGCCAAAUGGCCUCACCGGCACUGCCCGGCCGGGAGACAAGGCAAGGAAUUACCCCGCUGGUCUCUCUUUAAGCUGGGUCUUGUUCGGGAGUAUGAAUUUAUAGCCAGCUGCCUGGUCUUAAGUGCAAUUUCUGAAAACAGGCAGAGUGACCAAGCCUUUUCUGGCCGGUGGUGGCCCAAGGUCCAGUCAUCCACACGUGGGGUCUGCUCCCAGACUUCCAUCCAUUUCCAGGCUGAGUUGGAUUGUGCAGGUCAAACGUGCGGCGAGGCAGCUGGGCCAUCUGCUUUCCUGGCCUCCGCCACCAGCCCCACUAACAAGGGAACCAGCAUCUGCUCCACCAAGAAACCAUCCUGAGCUCAGUGGCUGCAAACACGAGCAGUUCUUUAACCCAGGCCUCUGCUGGGCUGGGGAAGGGGAAGGAUGUGGCUCACUCCUUGGUGUAUCUAGUCCACCGUGGACCCCUCCUAGGCAGCUGGGACAUGGAUGUUGGCGGGGAGGGCCAGCAGUGAGUCUGCAGGCUGCUGCUGCGUGCCCGAGGCCCCAGGCUGGAGGGUGUGUGACUCACCAGCUUGCGAGCCCUGUGGCUGGCGGCUCCCAAGUGCCAGCAGAGGGAUCUCAUCCUCUCGGGCCUGCUCCUAGUGGUGAUAAAGCCAGGGCAGCCCCCCACGCCUACCCCAUCAGGGCAUUUGGGUUGUGUGGCCCAGAGGAUGAGGGUGUGUGGCAAAAACUCUGCCUCUCACUCAUCUGGCUAAUUCUUCCCAAAAUAGGACUUUGGAUUAUUCCAGUCCCUGCUCAGUGCCUCCCAGGGCUUCCCAGGGUCUGUGGAAUUGGGGGGUCUGAGCCUCUCAGGCUGUGCCCUGCAUUGCUCUUUUUUU
rnacentral:lncRNA from 10 species